AUACUGCCAGACUGGAACCGGAGAGGUAGAGGUACUACAGGGGUAGGAGUGAAAUCUUGUAAUCCCUGUGGGACCACCUGUGGCGAAGGCGUCUUACCAGAACGGGUUCGACGGUGAGGGACGAAAGCUGGGGGCACGAACCGGAUUAGAUACCCGGGUAGUCCCAGCCGUAAACGAUGCUCGCUAGGUGUCAGGCAUGGCGCGACCGUGUCUGGUGCCGCAGGGAAGCCGUGAAGCGAGCCACCUGGGAAGUACGGCCGCAAGGCUGAAACUUAAAGGAAUUGGCGGGGGAGCACAACAACGGGUGGAGCCCUGCGGUUUAAUUGGACUCAACGCCGGACAACUCACCGGGGGCGACAGCAAUAUGUAGGCCAAGCUGAAGACUUUGCCUGAAUCGCUGAGUAGUGGUGCAUGG
rnacentral:rRNA from 1 species